GUAGGUGGCGAGCGUUAUCCGGAAUGAUUGGGCGUAAAGGGUGCGCAGGCGGCGUGACAAGUCUGAAGUGAAAGGUACGGGCUCAACCUGUACAGGCUUUGGAAACUGUCACGCUAGAGGACAGGAGAGGGCGGUGGAACUCCAUGUGUAGCGGUAAAAUGCGUAGAUAUAUGGAAGAACACCAGUGGCGAAGGCGGCCGCCUGGACUGUAACUGACGCUCAGGCACGAAAGCGUGGGGAGCAAAUAGGAUUAGAUACCCUAGUAGUCCACGCCCUAAACGAUGAGGAGCAGGUGCCGGGGGUAGUACCCCGGUGCCAAAGCUAACGCAGUGACUCCUCCGCCUGGGGAGUAUGCACGCAAGUGUG
rnacentral:rRNA from 1 species